rnacentral:rRNA from 1 species
UUGGAGGGCAAGUCUGGUGCCAGCAGCCGCGGUAAUUCCAGCUCCAAUAGCGUAUAUUAAAGUUGUUGCAGUUAAAAGGCUCGUAGUUGAAUUUCGGGGUUAGUAGGUUGGUCAUGCCACUGGUAUGUACUGGUCUCACUGAUUCCUCCUUCCUGAUGAGCCGUAAUGCCAUUAAUUUGGUGUUGCGAGGAAUCUGGACUGUUACUUUGAAAAAAUUAGAGUGUUUAAAGCAAGCUAACGCUUGAAUACAUUAGCAUGGAAUAAUGAAAUAGGACGUUCGAUCCUAUUUUGUUGGUUUCUAGGAUUGACGUAAUGAUUAAUAGGGAUAGUUGGGGGCAUUAGUAUCCAAUUGUCAGAGGUGAAAUUCUUGGAUUUAUUGAAGACUAACUACUGCGAAAGCAUUUGCCAAGGAUGUUUUCAUUAAUCAAGAACGAAAGUUAGGGGAUCGAAGACGAUCAGAUACCGUCGUAGUCUUAACCAUAAACUAUGCCGACUAGGGAUCGGAUGAUGUUAUUUUUAAUGACUCAUUCGGCGCCUUACGGGAAAC